rnacentral:lncRNA from 1 species
AACAUUAACAGUAAUACAGUGAAUUAUAGAGAGAAAACACUUUGGUUGAUCGCUAGUCAUUUUUAGAGGAAAUUGUGAGUUCUGGGCAAAAAUUGCAAGUGAAACUUUAGUUUUGGCUGCGACUGUGAACCAAUAUGUUUGUUCAUAGCUGUAGCUUCACUUAGAUAUUUUGGAGAAUUACUACAUGGGUUCAGUGAACAGCCCCUCCUACACAGGACAUCUGGCCACAAAGCCUUCCCAAUUGCGGGACCCUGAUCCAUCAAAAUAAUGCCCUCCUUUGUGUUCGAUUACAGCUCAAGUCCCAUUGAGGGCUCCCAGCCAACAAAGACAGAAGUGCCCUCUCAGACGGUGUGAUGAGUCAGGGGUGCUGGCGAGGGAGGAGGCAACCGGGUGUCAGAGUCACGCACGAGCAACGAAACUCACUUCUUGGUGCUUCAGAACAACUUUCACAGGGUGGAGACCCAUUUCUUGCAAGCCGGUAUCAGUCUUGUUGCGGGAAACUGUUAGUCAGUUAGAUUUGUGGUUUUUGUUAAUGCGUCACUGCUCUGGUUAUUAUCGCUGUCAUUCAACUGUUUUAAUAAGGGCGUUUAAAAAGUGUGUGACCAAAGGAAAUGGAUGAUUUGCCAUUGGCAUGCAAUUCAUAAUUCUGAUUCAUUCAUAAAAAGUAGCAGUGAAUAAUUCAAUAGGAGCAGCUGCUGGUGUAGCUGUUAUAGAUGCUGCCCUUGGACCUAAAGAUCACAGGUUCAAAUCUCAGCUAUAGUACUCUUGAGCAAGGUACUUUCCCUACAUUGCUCCAGUAAAAUUACCCAGCUAUAUAAGUAAGUAAUUGAAAGUAGCUUUACAGAAAAGCGUCAGCUAAACAUAAUGUUAUUCAACAUCAGAGUAAGAGUAAGACUGUCAGAACCCAGAGUAUCCCUAAACUGAACUUUGUUUUGAAUAGCCCGAGUUCAGUUUGACUGGUAAGUGUUCUCCCUGUCCAAGUCCUUUAGUCCAUGGACACAUACUUUUACUUUACAUAUACAUUAUUUACAUUUACAUAUUAACACGUAUUCAUUUAGCAGAUGCUUUUCUCCAAAGCAACUUACAUCUCAUAGAAAAUACAAUGUGUUCAUUACAUGAGCAGAAAGAAACAUGGUUGCAGACACAUGAUGCUUAAGUACAGUUAUUUUCGACCAUAUGAACCAAUGUUCAUCACAUGAGCGGCUGUAUAGAACUUUAGGAACCUCCAAUAUUCGGAUAAACAUAUUCCUAAUAAUUUGUUUUUUAAACAUUUACUUUGAAUUGGAUUUCUGAUACUUUGGAUACCCUGAGCACCACAUGUUAGAAAGCGUGUGCAUUAAAAGAAACCCAUACAUUUGGCACCAUGGCUUUGACUGGCUGAGCAACCUGUUGCAUCUGUUCCCUCGCAUCUCCUGAGGACACUCCUCUGCAACAACUGCAUGACCAGACUAAUUACACUGCAUCUUAAGUGUUUUUAGAAGUAGAAAAUGAAUUAAACAUGUAUUCAGAUACGAGAGACAACUGUUAAACAGUGAAUAAAAGUUUCAGAAGUAGGUUGAAUUAUACUGUU